rnacentral:rRNA from 1 species
CACUACCAUACUAUCUUCUCUGGAUACAAUUGUUACUGUCUGAUUUUGGAAGCUAAGCAGGGUCAAACCUGGCUAGUACUUUGACAGGCAAUCAAAAGGAAAUACCAGGGAUCUCCAGGUAGGGC